UUUAGUAACUUGACACUUAUGGGGAUUAAAUGAAAAGAUCAUUAACAGGGAACAUUUAUAAAUGGAAGUAUUUAUAAUUUGACACUCUUUGAAUCUUUUAAUUGUUCAGUUUCAGAUCAGUUUAUGCCUUUGCAUCUUGCUGUUCCAGUUUCAAGAAGUUAAGGAAGAUAACUGGAGAUGUGAUAACGAUACCAGAAGACUGAGAAGAAACUGACCCUCAUUAGAAAGAUGAUGGAGACCACAUUUCCCCUACGCCGACAGACCAUAGUGAUUUGUAUGCAGAGUUCCAGCGGAUUACAAAUCAGAACCUGCCCAACACGUGCUAUGCUGAGCUUGACCGCUAUCUUCCUCGACUGAUGACCUUAUUCAGACGGAAGGCAUCAAAAACUGGGAAGACAGCAGAUGCUCUGGCUGAAAUUUUAAAAAUCCACGAUGAACAGGAAAUCCAUGACAUACACACCAAGCGCACUACUGUUCUCCACGUCCUUCCUGUGUAUCUG